GAUGAACGCUAGCUACAGGCCUAACACAUGCAAGUCGAGGGGCAUCGGGAAGAAAGCUUGCUUUCUUUGCCGGCGACCGGCGCACGGGUGAGUAACACGUAUCCAACCUGCCCUUUACUCGGGGAUAGCCUUUCGAAAGAAAGAUUAAUACCCGAUAGCAUAAUGAUUCCGCAUGGUUUCAUUAUUAAAGGAUUCCGGUAAAGGAUGGGGAUGCGUUCCAUUAGGUUGUUGGUGGGGUAACGGCCCACCAAGCCUUCGAUGGAUAGGGGUUCUGAGAGGAAGGUCCCCCACAUUGGAACUGAGACACGGUCCAAACUCCUACGGGAGGCAGCAGUGAGGAAUAUUGGUCAAUGGGCGCUAGCCUGAACCAGCCAAGUAGCGUGAAGGAUGAAGGCUCUAUGGGUCGUAAACUUCUUUUAUAUAAGAAUAAAGUGCAGUAUGUAUACUGUUUUGUAUGUAUUAUAUGAAUAAGGAUCGGCUAACUCCGUGCCAGCAGCCGCGGUAAUACGGAGGAUCCGAGCGUUAUCCGGAUUUAUUGGGUUUAAAGGGAGCGUAGGUGGACUGGUAAGUCAGUUGUGAAAGUUUGCGGCUCAACCGUAAAAUUGCAGUUGAUACUGUCAGUCUUGAGUACAGUAGAGGUGGGCGGAAUUCGUGGUGUAGCGGUGAAAUGCUUAGAUAUCACGAAGAACUCCGAUUGCGAAGGCAGCUCACUGGACUGCAACUGACACUGAUGCUCGAAAGUGUGGGUAUCAAACAGG
rnacentral:rRNA from 1 species